rnacentral:sRNA from 1 species
UUUGUGUCGAAUGGUGUUGAGAAGGGAC